rnacentral:misc_RNA from 1 species
CCAAACUUGGUCAUUUAGAGGAAGUAAAAGUCGUAACAAGGUCUCCGUUGGUGAACCAGCGGAGGGAUCAUUACAAGACGAGUAGAAAUACUCUGAAACCCUUUGUGAACAUACCAUAUGUCUAGUUGCCUCGGCGGGCGGCCCCUGGGAGGGGCCCCGGGGCCCGGCCGCGAAAGCCGGGCGCCCGCCGGGGGGACGCACACCCAAACUCGUUGCUACACAGCAGUGGAUACCUCCGAGUCAAAACAAAAAAACAAGUUAAAACUUUCAACAACGGAUCUCUUGGUUCUGGCAUCGAUGAAGAACGCAGC